rnacentral:ncRNA from 1 species
GUUUUGGUCCUAAACUUGCCCUUGUUUUUUACCAAAAUUAUACAUGCAAGCCUCCACACACCAGUGAGAAUGCCCACACACCCCUAAACAGCGAACCGGAGCAGGCAUCAGGAAACAACACCACAAUUUUAGCCAAAAACGCCUUGCACAUGCCACACCCACACGGGCUUACAGCAGUAAUUAACAUUAAGACAUGAGCGAAAGCUCGACUUAGUUAUGGUAUACAUGGUCGGUAAAUUUCGUGCCAGCCACCGCGGUUAUACGAAAGACCAAAAACAACGGCCCACGGCGUAAAGCGUGACUAGAGAACUAAAACAACUUAGAGGAAAACGGCCGCCAAGUAGUAAAACGCCCAUGCACCCCAGAAUCACGACAACCGCCUCUAAUACAACCCUACCUCACGAAAGCUAAGAAACAAACUGGGAUUAGAUACCCCACUAUGCUUAGCCCUAAACAUAGACAGUAAAAACACAACACUGUUCGCCGGAGAACUACAAACGAAAAGCUUAAAACUCUAAGGACUUGGCGGUGCUUCAAACCAACCUAGAGGAGCCUGUCCUAUAAUCGAUACCCCACGUUUCACCCGACCCCUCCUAGCCAAACAGCCUAUAUACCGCCGUCGUCAGCCUACCUUAUGAAAGAAACAAAGUAGGCACAAAAGUUAGUGACUAAUACGUCAGGUCAAGGUGUAGCACACGGAGGGGCAGAGAUGGGCUACAUUUUCCCAAAGAGAAAACACAAAUGGUGAACUGAAAUACACACCUGAAGGCGGAUUUAGCAGUAAAAUAACUAAGAAUAGUCAUUUUAAACCUGCUCUGAAGCGCGCACACACCGCCCGUCACCCUCAUCACAUG